CGCCUUAUACUCCUACGGGAGGCAGCAGUGGGGGAUAUUGCACAAUGGGCGCAAGCCUGAUGCAGCCAUGCCGCGUGUAUGAAGAAGGCCUUCGGGUUGUAAAGUACUUUCAGCGGGGAGGAAGGGAGUAAAGUUAAUACCUUUGCUCAUUGACGUUACCCGCAGAAGAAGCACCGGCUAACUCCGUGCCAGCAGCCGCGGUAAUACGGAGGGUGCAAGCGUUAAUCGGAAUUACUGGGCGUAAAGCGCACGCAGGCGGUUUGUUAAGUCAGGUGUGAAAUCCCCGGGCUCAACCUGGGAACUGCAUCUGAUACUGGCAAGCUUGAGUCUCGUAGAGGGGGGUAGAAUUCCAGGUGUAGCGGGGAAAUGCGUAGAGAUCUGGAGGAAUACCGGUGGCGAAGGCGGCCCCCUGGACGAAGACUGACGCUCAUGCACGAAAGCGUGGGGAGCAAACAGGAUUAGAUACCCGAGUAGUCCACGUACCA
rnacentral:rRNA from 1 species